UCCCAUUUAGCUCAGUGAUAGAGCGCUUCACUAGUAUAGCACGUUGAAUGGCGAGGUCGGUCGUUCAAGUUGGCUAGAGAGAG